rnacentral:lncRNA from 1 species
CCAAGAAGUUCAUUAAAACCCACAGCGGCAGGGCUUUGCUCUACUGUUCUCCACCCUAGUGAAAGAGACAUAUCCAUUAAACCGUGUUCUGAUUGGUCAUUCAUAAGAGAAUAACUUAAGUCCAAGGGUCACCUGUGAAACUUUGCCACAAGUAUUUUGACAAGCAUCAUAUGAGAGACAAAGGAAAAGGAGAUGACCUGUGCUUGUCAGAAGAAAACACGAAAAUACCCAACACCGACUGAGGCAAAGUCAACAUUAAGGAUCGCCUUAUCUACCACCAACUCUUCAGAAAAAUUUGAUGUAUGAGGAUAGCUUUACAUGACAGCAUUGCAAGAAAUAAAUGGAUGGAGAAUUUUUAAAAAAGAAAAGAAAAAGCUGGAGCAAUUCCGAGUGAUGACGAGUUCUAGGGUGUGUCUAUGGAAAUGUGUAACUGAAGUAGAGGAAGUCAUUGGCAAUGAAUAUGUCAAGGAAAGAAAUGCCCAGAAUGUCAAACAUGGAUAUGAUGUCAUUUUGAAAAAUGGGUGGAUAUGCGAUGGAAAAGAAGCCUGUGAGGGUGCCAAAGCCUUCAAUGAAUCAAGAGCAGUGGUGAAGAGAGUUUUCUUCCUGCUACUUUGAAAAUUGUCCUUGUGGAAAAGAAAGAAAGAAAAAGAGAAACUAUUGUUCCCCUAUCAACACAAGUGGGACAGAAGUGGGUGUGACCGUAGGGUGUCAGAUAAUGUACAAUCAUCACUGGAUGAAAGACAAUGGAUGUGGUGGAGAGCAUUCACCUGGGUGGAAGGAAACAGCCUCUACACCCCUCUAAGCCCCAUUAGGUGGUUGAUAGCCUGGAUAGACACCGUCCUACAGUGCUGCCUAAUAUUCUGACAUUUCAAGAACUAUAAACUUAGUGUUUUAUGGGAAAUUUUCAGAUUUUAAAAACCCUGUGCAUGAAUUCAUUUAUUCAACAAACUUGUAUUCAGC